AGCGAACGCUGGCGGCAGGCCUAACACAUGCAAGUCGAACGAACCUUUCGGGGUUAGUGGCGGACGGGUGAGUAACACGUGGGAACGUGCCUUUAGGUUCGGAAUAACUCAGGGAAACUUGUGCUAAUACCGAAUGUGCCCUUCGGGGGAAAGAUUAAUCGCCUUUAGAGCGGCCCGCGUCUGAUUAGCUAGUUGGUUGAGGUAAUGGCUCACCAAGGCGACGAUCAGUAGCUGGUCUGAGAGGAUGAUCAGCCACAUUGGGACUGAGGCACGGCCCAAACUCCUACGGGAGGCAGCAGUGGGGAAUCUUGCGCAAUGGGCGAAAGCCUGACGCAGCCAUGCCGCGUGAAUGAUGAAGGUCUUAGGAUUGUAAAAUUCUUUCACCGGGGACGAUAAUGACGGUACCCGGAGAAGAAGCCCCGGCUAACUUCGUG
rnacentral:rRNA from 1 species